rnacentral:lncRNA from 1 species
GGAAAGAGCACUUGCCCGUUAGAAGGAGCUUCUGGAAGAGCGGUGAAGACCAGGCCUGACUUCCUCCCAUUCCUGUGCUCAGUGCCUCACUUCCAGCAGGUGCAGGAUAAACACUUACUGGGUGUGUCGGUGCCAGUGGUGGAGGUAUGCAGGGAGGGAAGCUGCUUCAGGAAAGGAGGUGUCUUCAGAAAGCCUUGAUCCAUGGUUCCGAAGUUUCCAUCCUUUUUAGCCCUCCAUCACCACCUGGAGCUCAAGGAUCUUGAGGGGCAACCUUGAUCACACCUGGCCUGAUUUUUC